AACGCUGGCGGCAUGCCUCAUACAUGCAAGUCGAACGAGGUCUUCGGACCUAGUGGCGCACGGGUGAGUAACAUGUGGGAAUCUGCCUAAAGGUUCGGAAUAACUGCGGGAAACUGUAGCUAAUACCGGAUGUGUCUGCAAAGAGAAAGAUUUAUCGCCUUUAGAUGAGCCCGCACUAGAUUAGCUAGUUGGUAAGGUAAAAGCUUACCAAGGCGACGAUCAAUAGCUGUUCUUAGAGGAAGACCAGCCACAUUGGGACUGAGACACGGCCCAGACUCCUACGGGAGGCAGCAGUGGGGAAUCUUGCACAAUGGGGGAAACCCUGAUGCAGCGAUGCCGCGUGAGUGAAGAAGGCCCUUGGGUUGUAAAACUCUUUCGUCGGGGAAGAAAAUGACUGUACCCGAAUAAGAAGGUCCGGC
rnacentral:rRNA from 1 species